ACCUGCCUGUAAGACUGGGAUAACUCCGGGAAACCGGAGCUAAUACCGGAUAGUUCCUUGAACCGCAUGGUUCAAGGAUGAAAGACGGUUUCGGCUGUCACUUACAGAUGGACCCGCGGCGCAUUAGCUAGUUGGUGGGGUAAUGGCUCACCAAGGCGACGAUGCGUAGCCGACCUGAGAGGGUGAUCGGCCACACUGGGACUGAGACACGGCCCAGACUCCUACGGGAGGCAGCAGUAGGGAAUCUUCCGCAAUGGACGAAAGUCUGACGGAGCAACGCCGCGUGAGUGAUGAAGGUUUUCGGAUCGUAAAGCUCUGUUGUUAGGGAAGAACAAGUGCGAGAGUAACUGCUCGCACCUUGACGGUACCUAACCAGAAAGCCACGGCUAACUACGUGCCAGCAGCCGCGGUAAUACGUAGGUGGCAAGCGUUGUCCGGAAUUAUUGGGCGUAAAGGGCUCGCAGGCGGUUUCUUAAGUCUGAUGUGAAAGCCCCCGGCUCAACCGGGGAGGGUCAUUGGAAACUGGGAAACUUGAGUGCAGAAGAGGAGAGUGGAAUUCCACGUGUAGCGGUGAAAUGCGUAGAGAUGUGGAGGAACACCAGUGGCGAAGGCGACUCUCUGGUCUGUAACUGACGCUGA
rnacentral:rRNA from 1 species